rnacentral:rRNA from 1 species
AGAUUGAACGCUAGCGGGAUGCUUUACACAUGCAAGUCGAACGGCAGCGCGGACUUCGGUCUGGCGGCGAGUGGCGAACGGGUGAGUAAUAUAUCGGAACGUGCCCAGUAGCGGGGGAUAACUACGCGAAAGCGUGGCUAAUACCGCAUACGCCCUACGGGGGAAAGGGGGGGAUCGCAAGACCUCUCACUAUUGGAGCGGCCGAUAUCAGAUUAGCUAGUUGGUGAGGUAAAGGCUCACCAAGGCGACGAUCUGUAGCUGGUUUGAGAGGACGACCAGCCACACUGGGACUGAGACACGGCCCAGACUCCUACGGGAGGCAGCAGUGGGAAUUUGGACAAGUGGGGAAACCUGAUCAGCCAUCCCGCGUGUGCGAUGAAGGUCCUUCGGGUUAGUAAGCUACUUUUGGCGAGGAAGAAACGGUCGUAGACGUAAUAUUACAGCGUACAC